CGGAGUAUAUUCUUAUUUCAAAUACACAUAUACAAAUAUCUUGAAUCAUUCAUAUUAUUGUGUACAAUAUUGUCAUUUUUACAGUUCCUCAUAAAACGAAUUAUUAAUAAUAUUUUUACCGAUUUACCAUAUAGUCGCCUUAGUAUUUCUUUGGCCUACAGACCAUUUCAUAACAACAUCCAGUCUUAUUAAAUAAUUUUAAAAUUGGAACAUAUUAUUUUCACGCAGAUCUGAAGAGUCUAUCUUGUUUUUACGACGACAAUCACAAAUGAGGUCAUGUAUGUCCAUAUACAUAUAUUAUGUGCCAUACGCUGCAUUACAUGCAUGAAUUAACGCAAUACAAUAACGGUUGAAAACCUGGCGCACCGAGCAGAUAUACUAGAGCACCAAAAAGGUGAGAAGUACGCCCAGAUAGCACACUAUUCCAGAGGCCGACUAUCAUUCGUCUGCCAAAAGUCGACGUUUU